rnacentral:rRNA from 1 species
UUCCGUAGGUAACCUUGCGGAGGGAUCAUUA